AAAGAUAAGACGUUAUGUUGAAUGCAUUAUUAAACUUCUGCAAUACAGAAGGAGGGUUCUUCAUCAGUGUCUCACCCCCAAGUUAGCAGAUAUUGCUUAUAUGAAGGUAUUCUGUGCAAGUACUGGCAUAUGCUCUAUUUUAAUGUAUUUGAUUCAAAUGACUUUCAAAUGUGCGUGAUCGAUGCACUUAAAGCUGUGUGGAAAACUAAUAACUGAUCAAAUUGUAAAUUGCCUUGAUUAAAAUACCGUUUUAUAGAAGACACCUUUUCCCACGAUUUUGGCAACUUGAUAUUUUUCCAGAAUUUUUUUUUUAAGACAGAGGGUAUAUGGGGGAAAUCAGCGGGGUAUAAAAUUUGAGAACUUCUGAAAUGUCAUAUCUUAAUUUCCAGGUGCAUAUUUCAAGGCUUUUCUGCAGAUGUUUUGCUUCUGCUUUGGUGCACAUUUGCACUACUUCUGUUGGAGUUAAUAGCAAUGGGAAGAGAAUAAGCUCAUAACAUAUGACAUCUUUAAAAACUUGAAAGCACAGUCCUCCAUUGUGGUUAGAACAAUUCUCUUCUACUCUUUCAUCAACAUGGAAAGCUCAGAUUCUAAUGAUAAAGGAAAUAUUGAUCAAUCAGAAGCUCAGCGUCGUAGUCAGCUGGAUCGAUUAGAUCGGGAAGAAGCUUUCUAUCAAUUUGUCAAUAACCUGAGUGACGAGGAAUACAGGCUUAUGAGGGAUAACAAUUUGCUAGGAACUCCAGGUGAAAUUACUGAAGAAGAAUUGCUGAGAAGGCUACACCAAAUUAAAGAAGGUCCACCACAGCAAAACAGUGAUGAGAAUAGAGGUGCAGAAUCCACUGAAGAUGUAUCUAAUGGAGAUUCCAUCAUAGACUGGCUUAAUUCUGUCCGACAGACUGGAAAUACAACACGAAGUGGGCAAAGAGGAAACCAGUCUUGGAGGGCAGUGAGCCGGACUAACCCUAACAGUGGUGAUUUCAGGUUCAGCUUGGAAAUAAAUGUCAACCGUAAUAAUGGCAACACCAAUUCAGAAACUGAAAAUGAGCCAUCUGUAGAACCUUCCAAUGGGGAGGAUUUGGAAAAUAGCCAAAGUGACUCUGACACCCCUCGGUCUGAAUCGCCAUCAGGAGGGCAGACUGCAUCUGAAAGGAAUACCUCUGAGGAAUUGGCAGCGGAGGAAGCUCCUUCACACAGAGGUCAGAGAAGAGCAAGAAGUAGGAGCCCAGAGCAGAGGAGAACACGAGCUAGGACUGAUAGAAGUAGGUCACCUAUUAAUCCAGUGAGUGAGGCUCCUCGCAGAUCUCAUCAUAAUACGUCAUCUCAGACAUUUGAUCAUUCCCCGGUAAAUGAAGCUGAGGGAAGUUCCAGAACCAGACAGCACGUGACAUUAAGGCAGCAUUCAACAGGGACUGAGAUGCCAAGUGAAAAUGCAGCUCUGUUUUCAACCCCUGAAGCAAGACCUGUUCCUCAAGCUGCUGGUUCUUCAGAAACUAAUGCCAGUGGUGAGUCUGCAGCUCCUGGACAGAGGCCUCCUACUAUAGUCCUUGAUCUUCAAGUGAGAAGAGUUCGCCCAGGAGAGUAUCGGCAGAGAGACAGCAUAGCGAACCGAACUCGGUCGAGGUCCCAGACCCCAAACAACACAGUCACUUAUGAAAGUGAACGGGGAGGGUUUAGGCGCACAUUUUCACGUUCAGAACGGGCUGGAGUGAGAACUUACGUCAGUACCAUUAGGAUUCCUAUUCGUAGAAUCUUAAACACAGGCUUUAGUGAGACUACAUCAGUUGCGAUUCAGACCAUGCUAAGGCAGAUCAUGACAGGCUUUGGAGAGUUGAGUUACUUUAUGUACAGUGAUAGUGAUGCAGAUCCUAGUGGCCCAGCCCCAAAUCAAAGUGGAGAUGCUGCUGAGCCACCAAGUGGAGGAGGAACAGGUGGUGGUAGUUCGAGUAGUGAAGGUACUGAUGCUAGCUCAGGGGAAGUCUAUGAAGGUAGUAAUGAAGGAGGUUCCACAUCCGGUGCUAGACGGGAAGGUCGGAAUACCAGGGGUUCGGUCACUUUUGAAGAAAGUGGUUCUCUACCAUUCCUUAGCCUAGCACAGUUUUUCUUACUAAAUGAGGAUGAUGAUGACCAGCCGAGAGGACUCACCAAAGAACAAAUCGACAACCUGACAAUGAGGAAUUUUGGUGAAAGCGAUGCCCUGAAAACCUGUAGCGUCUGUAUUACGGAAUACACAGAAGGCAACAAACUUCGUAAACUGCCUUGUUCCCACGAGUAUCAUGUCCACUGCAUUGACCGCUGGUUAUCAGAAAAUUCCACUUGUCCUAUUUGUCGCAGAGCCGUCUUAGCUUCUGGUAACAGGGAAAGCGUUGUCUAAGUGAGAUCUGAGCUUGUGGCCAAACAGCUGAUGUAAUAGUGAUGGGCAAAGAUGUCACUUCCUUUUUGGCCACUUUUUGAGUGGUGCCUACAUAUAAAGUAAUCACUUUGAGUGAAUGUUCCCUCAUGAAAACAUUUUCUCAGAUUCAAAGCUUUUAAAAUGGGCGUCUCUUUAGAGUCCCCAAAUCUAGUCAGUUUCAGCGUAUUGAAUUUUAUUUGCUCAAAGACACCUAUCUGCUCAAAAAAAAAACAAAAAAAAAUUGUUAAAAAAAAAAGUUUUGUGUUUUCUUUUCUUAUUAAGACUGUUAAGUUCCCUUCCCUAUUCCAGUGCGGUUUGAACCUUCAGGAUCUCUCCUGUGAGAACUUAUCUGAGAAGUCAUCCCAGUUACAGAACAUACUUCAUAAUGUGUUUUGUUUUUGUUUUUUUAAAUGGACUCACCUGCCCCAUUGAACUAGGAGCUCAGUUCAUCGGCAUCCUUAAAUAUCAUUUUAAUGUUUAUAUUGGGUGUUCUUUGACAUCUCUGUAAAUAACACUAACGUUAGUCCUUUUCCCAUCACUAUGGCACGCUGUAGAGUGAGCUAAUAGCUUAAUUGGGAUAUUUAUCUUGUUGUGGAAAUAUAAGAAUUGCCUAUGCUUGUUUAAAUAAAAAUAAAUUCUGUUUUAAAACUGUAAAGCUUUUUUGUAGAAGCUCAGUACUUUUUCCAAUGCACUGUUGUACUAAUGCAUUAAAAAUUAAAAUUGUACCAUGCUUAGAAAUGAAGAGAACGCUUUUCAUAUAAGACCCACCACACACAGAGCAAACAAUACAAGAGAGCUGCUUUUGUAAAUGUGUUAUUGUCAAGAGCAGUGCAUAUCUGUACUAUUUAAUUUAUGUGAACAGCUACUGUAACACAACAGUUAACAAUUAGACACCUUAAUUGCAUUAAAACUGAUGGAAAUUGAAUGUUAGCAUUGCAAUGUGUUGGCUCAGUACUGCCAUCAAAAAAUAUGAUGAUAAAAAAAAAAGUAGAAACCUGCUCUGAAGACUGUUCUUUUUGGGCUUUUUCCCCCCUUUAUAUGGUUACUUUGGUAAAAUAACAUAUCAUUUUAUUUACUGAGGAUUAUACUCCAGUUUUGUAUAAGCUGUAUUUUAAUCACUGGGGUGCUGUGUAUAAUUUCCAACCGACAGAUGUUGGCAGAUUUUCCUCAUUACAUGCCACAAAGUUAACUUCUGUGGAAUUUUUUUAGUGACUUAGCUGGCUAGUCUCCAGAGUCAGAGGUGGUCACCUGUGACCAAAGUGUUCCCAGCAGAGUGAUUGAUUUAAUGUUCAGGCAUAGCUGAGAAAUAAUCGUCUGAUGGGUUUCUCAAAUUAGUUGUCAGUCUUAAGAUUGGUAAUGGUUAUUUGAAUACAUUUUAAGAACAAUGUUAUGGGGCUAGACUUUGCAGUUUAUUUUCUUUAAAAUAAUAGGCAUCUUGAAUUCCUCUUUAACAUCUGCCUAAAAAUCAGUUGCAUGUUAUAUUGCAAGUAAAUGGAUGGCUUAUCAAAAUUCAAAUUGUGGAAAUACUUUUUACACUGUCACAAUUUUAAGUCUGCAUUGGAAAAUGUUUGUAGCUUAACUCUCGUUAGUAUUGUGGGAGGGCUGCCCUCACCCCAGUGAAAUAUUUCUUUUCUUUUUCCCUUGGGAAUUUUUUUUCAAUUCUGUUAAGUUUUUUGCAAGGAAAGCAAAGUUUUAUUUUAAGUACAAAUGAGUAGUUAAUUAGGAUAUGAACUGCUCUUGCUGAUGAGAUGGAAAAGGUUGGUUGAUCCUCAGAUGAAAAAACCAAAGCUGACCUUUCUUUAAAUUUAACAAAUUUUCAGUGUUUCCUAGUGGUGGUUACAUAGAAGAUCAUCUUACUAUUAAGCCAUUUUAACUUCCCAGCCAGUUCAGGAUUCCAGCCUUCUGGAGCUCUCCUGUUCUUCAAAGUGUGCAUUUUUCUUAUUCAAUCCAAUGGGUACCCCGGGAACCCUGACUGGCUACUGUGCUCGCUUUCCUCCAGGUAGAACACACCUUUGUAGUAGAUGGGGGUAUUUCUGGUAUUUUUUUAAACAGAAGCAUAUAUAAAUAAAUACAUAUUCUCUUACAAUUUCUCUACUUGGCAUACAUCAGUCUAUAAAAUGGGAGGUUAGGCAUCUUAGUGGUUGGCGUUACAUUCAUGAAUGUAGAUUACAAAAUCUUAAGCAAAAAUUUCUUCUGGUAAAUAUUGGAAAUGAUCACUUGAAUCUUUCCUAUAGCAAUCACAUGCUUUUUCAGUAACUUUACUGAUUUAUUGGACUACAGAACUUUAAAAUAUUUUCAUUGUAUUAUUUGCUACUCAAGGAUAUUUUUUGUUUUUUUAUGCAUCUUUAUGAGAACUAAGGGUAGUGACCAGAAUAAAAGCCCCCAGCAGAGCCAGUGGAGUAAGUCUGUAACGUCUGUCAUUUUAGCAGAGCCACUUUUCUACCAUAAUUUUCUUCUUAGUUUUCAAGAACUAAUGCUUCAGUAAAAUCACCUUUUUAGUCUUACUGUUCCUUAUUAGUGGCAUGCCUUAACAUUCUCUCUUAUGUAAUGGCAGCAAUGCUUGACUGUUUCUGGUUCCCAAGAAGGUACCAGAAAAAGUCAGUUCAGUGAAGAAUCCUUUGAAUGUUUCAAAUAUUUGUAAGUGAGCAUUGACUAUACCAGAAGCGCUAAGGUGAAGGACUUUUCUUCCAAGACAGUCAACAAGACUGCAGUUGCUGAUGAGGGGAAGAAACUUAAGCAAAUAAGGCCUGUAUCAAAUUUCUCAACAGUGCUGCAAGAUGAACACUGGCAUAUGACAGCUUUGAUUUAUAUCCAGGAACUCCUGGUGUUUAUGAACAAUCUGCUUCAUAAACAGUGCAAAACCAAAUCUGCGAAAAGUGCAGGCCUGACCCAGCAACAGAUUCUUGCUGGCUUAUGCCCUAAUAGUAUGAGGGAACUUGGUUAAUUCCUGUUACAGUGUUAGAAAGUGUAGAGCCAUUCUUUUAAAGUUUUGCUGGAGCUCUUGAAACGCUGGUGUAAACGCUUUAAUUGCCAAUGUCGUCUGCCUCUGCAUAACAGUCACUUGGGGUCGGCACGGUCACGGUUAGUUGGAGUUGUUUUGUUUUGAAUCACUGUAUUUAAAAGUAUAAGACUCCCUUUGUGCCAAGCAGUUCUAGUUGCAUCUGUAGCUUUCUCGAACCUAUUCUUUUCAGUAUUGGAAUCACAGAGGAAUGUGCACUAUUUUUGCACCAAUUUCACGAGCAGUCUCUCGCCACUCAAAAGGUUAAAAAAGCAUCCAUUGUCUCUCAAAUGCCCAUGUGCCCAGAUGAACAAAGGGGUGGCAGCCUUGUGAUACAUGUGCUGUUUUCAGCUCCUUGGUUCACAGUGCCAUCUUGUGGUAGCCUGUCUUACCCUCCUUUCAAAGCUGGGGGUAAAUGUGCAUCUUGGUUUUCACUAGUUGAGAACUUCUUUUUCUGCAAAUUGAGGUGGAUUUGUAUUUCAGGGUGCCCCUCUGCUAGUUUGUCACCAAAGUUGUUGCUGUUUACACACGCGCACGUGCGCAUGCACGCCUUCAUGUUUCAAGCAUCCCUCCUUUGGGCAGAUAUGGAAUUACCUCAGGAACUUCUUGCAGGGUUGAUUUUGAGUCCUCUGUGUCCGUGGCUGAACAGACUGUCUCCAUAGAUACUCAAGCGCCCAAAGGGUUUAAACAUAGAAGGCUGCACGUAAUCUUUUUGUAAGCGUGCUGCGUACUGUCCUACCCAAAUUGCAAAUCUGUGUGAAGUUUUAUUUUUGGUUUGCCUUCUAACGGAAAUAGAAACUCCCAGUCACAACUACUCAGUUUUCAAAGUUUUCCUUUUACUGGCACUUUUGUAACUUAACCCAGCUUUUUGCAAAUAAUAGGUUUCUCGUAGCUCAUUCAUUUUUUUUUUUUUGCUUGUUUGGGAAAUGGUUGCUGCUCUCCAUGCAUAGAGCCUCCUCGUUAAUGUAGGAAGUGCUCGUGUGCAUGCCUGGCAGCUGCACUGACGUGAUACUGUCCCAGUUCUGAAGGAGCCAUGAUGGUCCAUUGUGUCAACUUGCAGAGUCAUGUGUUCCUGACUCCAUUGACACAAUGUACUGGAAUGACUGUCAUUCCACGUGCCCAUCACUUUUCUGUGGAUUAUGCAAAUAUGUAGAGUCCAAAAAGACCCUUUCACCAGUAUAAUGUCAGUAAGAUGUUUAUCGUAAAAGGUUUGCUUACACGUCAAAGAAAUCCAUCUUCUACGCUGUGUUUAUAGUAGGUAGGGUCUAAUUCUAAGAAGAAAAAAGAAAUUCAUAGAUUCAUAAAUGCAGUUGAAGCUGACCAUUGGUCUACCAAUUUGUACCAAUGUGCCUAGGUAUUUUGUGGGUCUUCCAAAGGUGUGAUCUUAAUCAGCACAGUGAAGUAUCAAAUAUUUAACUGGCUGGGUUAAGCCACAGCCUUAACUCUUUCUUUGCUUUAAUUUGAGACCCUUACUAAUAUUGUAAAGUGUUCUUGUGUGUAACUGUUUGGUGUCUUGAUUUUUCUCACCUGUUUUCAUUCAGCCUUGGUUCUACUAUGGGGACUUAAGGGGCUUGAUUAGGGGUAUGUGGAUAGGUGUUAAGUUGAUUAGGUACACAGAUGUCAUGGACUGCCUUUACCCACUUGUUUGGCUACUCCCAGGAGGAGCUGCUUUGGGGGGUGGGUUUGCUUUGAGCCAUGUUAAUGGAAUUCAGCAACAGAUUCAGAAAUAUAUUUCACAUCUUCAGCAGCUUUUUUUGUUUGUUUGUUUAGGGGUUUUGAUGGGGGAGAGGAGACAGGAACAAAUCCAGUGGUAAUAAAGGUUACCCAAAGCACAGUAAAUUAUGUUUGUAUUUAAAAAUUAAAAAGUCUGAUUCUGUGACAUGAGGGCUUCCCAACCUUUCCUCCACUUAAGGAGCCUAUUUUUUUCAUGGGCCCAUUAUUGAAUUCUAUUUGGUUCUGUCUGGCUUUUUGUUCAUUUCAGCUACGAUUUCAAGACCCCUUCCUGAACCCCAGUAUUUACUAGUCAGUUCAUUGGUUGGGAAGCCCUAUACCAAACUGGGAAUGUAACAAGUUUCCUUCUUGUACAGUGUUUUACAUCUGUUUAUAUUGGACUUGUUUAGUACAAAAUGGUACUCUAAAAGGUCAUAAUAACACCAUUUGAUCAUAUUUGAUAACUAACAUUUAGGAAGAGUUUGUUCCCUGUGUAAGAUGUCAUAAUGCAAAUUUUAAACAAACUCAAUAAAAUGCAUGAAGUGAUAA